AAUCCUCUGGUACAUUCUUAAGGCAUUCUGCCUUACCCUCAUCAUAGCACCUAAAACAGUGCCCGGGGCUUCAAUAGGACGAGGCGCAUAGAAGGUGUUCAACAAAUAGUACAUGAUUAAUGACAUUUACAUAACUGGAAUUGUGUUUACAUGUCUAUCUCCCCUAUAAAUAACAAAACAGAUCUCUGUCACAUCUGUGCUUAAAACCUGCUGUAAACUUCUUAACAAUUUCAACAACAAAUAUUAGAAUCUCAAAUGGUGACAGGGUCAUGGCAAGUAAGAAAUGUGUAAAGCAGACUAAGGGUAACGAUAGGGAGUCGCAGGGACUAUGGCAAACUGAAGAAUGCCUGAGAGAUCCUUGAGUAAAGGGAGAACAUCUUAAUCUUCACUGCCCAUCACAAUACCUAGAACACGGCAGGUCCGCAUUCAAUAUAUUCUCACUCUAGGUUUUCAAGGGAUCAGUGGAACAAUUCAUAUGUGGGGUACAGUAUUUCCCACCUGCAUUUCAGAAUGGCAUACACCAAGGAUAGGGCAAUAAAAGGCACAUUUGGCAAUACAACUGAAGGCAGAGAGAGAGAGAGAGAGAGAGAGAGAGAGAGCGAGCAGGCAGGCUUUUAGCGUAAUAGCACAUCGAUAGGUGAAGAGAAACUGAAAGUCAUACUUGGAAGGUGAUGUGACACCAUCCCCAUUGUCCUUUCCAGAGAUGAGCCUGAUGGACCUGAAUUACUGACAACCCACAGCAGAAGCUGAAGAGAAAGAGGAUAGAUUGCCACAUGCCGGAACUGGAGUCUUGGCUUUCGAAAGAUCUUUUCCAUUACCUCUGCAGCAAGAAUGACGUCUUCUAAAGACUCAGGAUGGCCUCUAAUGUAAGGAUUCAGUAAAUAUUGAUCAAUUAACCCACCCACGAUGAGGUUCCUGUCAACCACUUAAUCACCUUCAAAUGGCGUGUUUAUUUACUCAAUUCCUCUGCCCUGUUUCUGCAGCUUCAUGGUCUAAUUCCCUGAUCCUCCAACCAGGAGGCCCCCCCAGGCCUGACAGAAGUGUUUGUAAAGGGAGCAGUUUGGGGGAGCUAUUUUGGGAGCAGCUCUGAAAAGAGACCCACAUAGUGAGAAUCUGAGACUUCCUGCCAACAGCCACAUGAAUAAGCAUGGAAAUGGAUUUCCCUCAGUCAAGCCUUCGGAUGAGAUGACAGCCCAUCUGACUACUUGACUGCAAUGU
rnacentral:lncRNA from 1 species